UGGGGAAUAUUGCACAAUGGGCGCAAGCCUGAUGCAGCCAUGCCGCGUGUGUGAAGAAGGCCUUCGGGUUGUAAAGCACUUUCAGCGAGGGGGAAGGUGGUGAGCUUAAUACGCUCAUCAAUUGACGUUACUCGCAGAAGAAGCACCGGCUAACUCCGUGCCAGCAGCCGCGGUAAUACGGAGGGUGCAAGCGUUAAUCGGAAUUACUGGGCGUAAGGCGCACGCAGGCGGUUUGUUAAGUCAGAUGUGAAAUCCCCGGGCUCAACCUGGGAACUGCAUUUGAAACUGGCAAGCUAGAGUCUCGUAGAGGGGGGUAGAAUUCCAGGUGUAGCGGUGGAAUGCGUAGAGAUCUGGAGGAAUACCGGUGGCGAAGGCGGCCCCCUGGACGAAGACUGACGCUCAGGUGCGAAAGCGUGGGGCAGCAAACAGGAUUAGAUACCCCUGGUAGUCCACGCUGUAAAACGAUGUCGAUUUUGGAGGUUGUGCCCUUGAGGCGUGGGCUUCCGGAGCUAACGCGUUAAAUCGACCGCCUGGGGAGUACGGCCGCAAGGUUAAAACUCAAAGGAAUUGACGGGGUC
rnacentral:rRNA from 1 species